rnacentral:lncRNA from 10 species
UUUAGUAGAGACGCUGUUUCUCCAUGUUGGUCAGGCUGGUCUUGAACUCCCGACCUCAGGUGAUCCGCCUGCCUCAACCUCCCAAAGUGCUGGGAUUACAGGCGUGAACCACCGCGCCCAGCCCAGACUCUUGAAUUCUUAAAGCACAGCUUGCCUUAGGGGCUUCAUAAUGGCCCUAGGGCCCCUGGGGCAUCACCCACAGGGUGUGAGGACCCUCCCCUCACCUCCCUCUCUCCCUGCCUCACUUCCUUCUUUCCUCCCUCCCUUCCCUUCUCAACUGAGCCCCCUACUCAGUGCCAAGCCCUGGGCGCCCUGCCUGGAGGAGUGGGCAGAAUGAUGGGAAGGCAGGCGAGUGUGCUGCAACAGAGGCGAGCCAUGGGCUGUGAGGCAUUGCAGGCAGACAGCAGAGGCAGGAAGCAGGCCUUCCUUCUGGGAAGCAGGAGGAGCCCGGGGAGAGUUGCUAGCUGUGGCCUUCUCAGCCCAGGCCCUCUAGCAACUUGGGGUUUGAGGGUCAAACUUCUUUCUUUAGGUAGGUGAGGAUAGAUGUGGAGGCCUCAGAACCCUGAGUUCAAGUCUGAUCUCAGCUUCUUGCCUACUGCGGUAGGGCAGUCGCUUCUCAGUGACUCAACUUUCCCAGCCACAAGAUGGGUCCAGGAAGAGCCGCUUGGGGAGCAGCGGGGCCGGGAGGAUGGGGUGAAUGACUGCCUGGCUGUGGGUAUCUGCAGCUCCUGCUGGCAAUCCUUCUCACCCGCUCGGUCUCCAGCCAGGGGACAGGGACCUGGGGUCCACACCUCAGCCUGAGGUCCAAGGCCAUCCUCGGAGGAGGCCCCACAUUCGUCCCCCAGGUUGGUGCCCACGCCUGCCCUGGCAUGAAGCCACCCUUUCUCAGGAAGUCCAAGUUACUGAAACAGAUAAAUCAAUCUGUCAAGAAGCCUUGGAGAAAGAAUCUCUCAACUCGCUCAGCCAAGAAGCUCAAAAGGCGAAUUGUUCCCAGAGAUGAAGAAGGAAACAACAGACACCUUCUUCCCAGGCUCUGCCUGCGGCUCUCGAGGCCCUGCCCUCCUCCCCCUGCCCCCAGAGAGCACCUGUAGGCUCAGGGCCAGCCCAGGGACAGGCAUGGCAGCCCCUCGCUGGCUGCUGGGGUGGCGCCCAAUUCCAGAGCCCUGUCUGGGGAAGGAGAGGGCCGAGAGCCACUGUUUGGCUCCUGUCCCAGACCUGACUGGGAGACCUUCUGAAAAACUCAGCCUCCUGAUCAACAGAGGGCAGAAGACCUGAGCCACUGGCCUCCCCAUGGAAGAGGCACUCAGAGCGGUAUGAGGAGUAGUGCUCACCCUGGACAAACUCCCGGAGUCAGUGUGACCGUCGGAGCUGGAGGCUGGGGUGAUGGGGGCCAGGGAAACCAAGCAAUGGCCCCGAGGUAGUGAGGAGUCUCUGGAGGCCAGAUACCCUCAAGAUGGAAAAGGAACAUCCUUGGAGGAUUGGGGUGGCUUCUUCCUGGAGGGAGGAGGGACACAUGCCGGGAUGACAGCCAGCUCUGCCGCUGACCAGCUGUGUGACCUUGUGAAAGUCACUUGAUCUCUCGGCGCAUCAAUUUCCUCAUUGUUGCCUGGGCCUCUUGUGAGAUCUUCCUCAUGGCUUGCAGUGAGGAUUGAAUGAGUCGAUCUGUGCCCCGUGGCCCGGGACAUGGUGAGCAUGUGGUAAUGGCAGCCGUUUUAUCCUGUAGUGUAAUAACGGUGUGCAGCUAGACGUCACUCUGGGCACCUUUUCUCACAGAACUGUCACUGCCGUGCUGCAGGAUGCGGAUGGUUGUCUUCACUCUCCAGAUGAGGAAACUGAGGCUCAAGGAAGGGCGGAGCUGCCUGAGGCUUGACAACUCUGCAGUCUGCAGCUGUGAGAGGGGGCUCUUUCUAGCCACACAGCUUUCCCUGGUUCUCGUGCGCUCUGUGAGCAGGAGGACGGGAAGGGCCGCAGCCGCUGAGGGAGCAGGAGGGGUUCGAUGCAAGCCCAGCUCCCAGCACGGGAAAGCCAGGUCAAGAAACACACGGCCUCUGCUGUGGGGCUGAUCACAGCUUUGUCAAAGAGGAGAUGUGGGAGGGGGGAGGUGAAGGGAGCAGGAAGAAAUGAAUGUCAGAAACAUAAAUAGCCCUGGAACUGAUGGACAGUCUGAGAUCUCUGCGCAGACCUGGGCGCCUGCAGGCUGCCACUCAAACCUGAGCAGAAGGGUGAACCCGCCCUCACCCCACUCCCGGUUCCCUACACGCCCCAGGAAAGGGCUGUUGUGAGCGGAAGGCAUUCGUCGAAAACUGGGAAGGUUGCCCAAGAAAGGCAGAGCGGGAAGCCCUCCGUGGGCAGCAGAACCGGGUGAGUCAGCCCGUCGGAGGGUCCCCCAUGUGGCAGGAAGGGGAGGCACAGGGACUGGGCUCGGCCACCUGGAAACACAGGCGGCAACAGCUGCUCAUGCAUGAAAGGUGACAGCUAAGUGUCAUCAGCCUGGGAGUGCCAGGAUAACGUCACCAGGGCGAGGUGGGCCGCGGGGGUGCAACAGAGGCCCCCUAACUUCCCAGGGGAAAAAGCUCACCACUGUCAGGGACAUGAAAGGACUGUCAAAGAGCCAUGAAACCAGCUACGGGGAUUGGGAAACUUCAGACUCACUUCUGUUUGUUUUGUGACAACAUGGAAGCCACAGAUGUUCUCUCAAGGAAACACCAGUUCCCAGGACCUCCGUUUACAGAUGGGAAGACCGAGGCUCAGAGAAUAUAAGCUGCUGGCGGACACACCACUGGGAAGUGGUGAAACCUCACCCAGGCUCUCCCCCUGCCAUGCAGGCUGUCACUGAAAUCAUGCUGGGCCCUCACCAUCCAAGCCGCUCUGCAGUGCUUGGAAAGCCAGCCUUCCUGUUAAUGCUACCUUCAGCUUCCUCAAAAACAGGACGAAACCUACAGGUGAGCCUCUCCUCCUGGAUUCCAGCCCAACUGUCAACCGUGCGCGGUGCGAGCCAAGAAUGAAUAUUCCCAAAGCGCCAACAGAAGGAAGUGCUUCAUAAAAACGGAGCCCGAGGGCGUGAAGGGAAAACAAGCCCUGUUCACACGCAGGCAGCAGCAUCCGCUCGGCACGGCCCCCGGGACGCGGAAACGCGCACUGCGACACCGCUGCAGGCGCUGGGAGCCCCCCGCGCAGAUGUGGAGCGCUGGGGAGCUGGAGGCUCUUUUCCUGCCCAGCUCGUGCCCCCUCGGUGGCCGCCAGGGCUCCCCAGGGUCUUUCGGGGACCCAGGACGCAGGCCACUCCCUCCGACGCCCCACGGGGCAAACGCCCCAGAGCAGGCGGCCUGCCUGAGGCUUUUCCCCUUGCUAGGGGGAGGAGGCCCUUGCGGCUCUGGGAGUCCCGGCCUGGGCCUUCCUAAUCCUGUGUCUCUGUGUGGUGUGACCUUGGGCAAAUCAUUCUCCAUCCCCCUCGGAGAUUCUCUGCUUCCCUUUCUGAAAAAUUGAGUUACACUCUUGGGUGGUUAGAAGGAUGGAAGGAGUCACAUGAAUAUCAAUGGCUAUAGUAUCUCUCAAUGAAUGAUGGAGAUUCCAGGGACGGGGAAGCAAAAAAGAUGUUUUAAAAGGAAUUUCUUUUCCUGCUCUGGGGAGUUCCUUCCUUUUCCGCUCUGCUUCUGUUUCUUCUUCCAGGUGCUGCCACAGUGGCUGACGGAAGACUCUCGAAAGAGCUGAUCACAGGCCACCCUCGGUCCAAAUUCCUCCGGGGUGCCUUUACCCUCAAAGCGGUCAGGUUUCUGAGAUGACAAAGCCCCUUUGACAGGCCUGUCAACUUCCCAGGCACCUACCAGGGCCCCAGCCAGGUCCAGAUCCAGAGCUUCCAGGACCCACCAUGUUGCUGGGCCCAUUCCCGGCCCUUCUCUGUGUCUCUGCAGAGGCUUAAUGGAGGGAGGCUCUCUUGAUUGGCAGCUUGUGGGGCAGGUGCCAAGCCUCAUUCAUUACACUUCUCAGCAUCUAACACAGUGCCUGGUGCACAGAAGAUGAAUUCAACUGGCAACGCAAAUGGUGUUCGUGAGCAGCACCCACAAGAACCACUCUCCACAAAGAUCCAACAUCUAGAAAGCCUGAGGCUCCACCCCUGGAAAAAGCUUCUGAAAAUCCUGGAAUCAGUGGGCAAAGCCUUGGCCAUUCUUCCAGACAGGUCCGAAAAGGUCACUGAGCUUCCCCUUGCUUCUCUUGGGAUGCUUGCUCUGGGGAAGCCAGCUGCCUCCUAAGUCCAAGUGCUCCGGGACUGUCAUUGUGGAGACCAGGAGCAGGUGCCGGCUGUGCCUGCAUGGCAGUGAAGCCACACUGGACCCUCUAGACCAGCCCACCCACAGUUGAUGCCAUGGAGAGUGGAAUGAUUUUCCAGUGGAGCCCUGCCUGAAUCUCCCAAGAGAGGGGGAGCCCACAGGGUCAGCUGAGUUGAAAUCUGAAGAUUGGGCAGAGAGCACCAAGCCUGCACCCAGUGAGACAGCAGCCCCAGCAUGUGGCUGUUUAAAUUAAAAUUAACUGAUAUUGAGUGAAAUGAAAAGUUCAGUUCCUCCAUCACACAGGCCAUGUUUCAAAUGCUCGGUAGCCACAUGGGCACAGAAUUGCAGCAAGUUCUAUUGGAGGCACUGCUCCAAGGCCCCGGGGUCCUACUGACCAGGUGGAAGGCCACCCGCCAGCUGGGAACAUCCACAUGGAGCUUUGUGUGCCAGAGAAGUCAACUUCUUGAAUGAAGUUAAGACGUGGGCUGGGGGAGGUGUUUGCCACUGUAACUAACAGGUAUCCUGUUAGUUAUCCUGGCCUGGAGGAGCGUUCCAUCUGGUACAGAACAGAGAUAAGUAAACAGUCCAUCGUGGGCCGGGGGAGACACAGGAGCCUGAAGAUCCCUGGGCCCAGAUGCAAGGCGAGGUAAUCAGAGAUGGCCCCAUGGAGGAGGCAGCACCUAUCCCCAGCACCAGGUCCAGCCAAGGGAGAAUGGUGAGAGGCAUUUCGCCUCCAUUUCUCUCCCGCAGUUCCUAGCUCUCCUUCUUUCAGGCACCAAAAGCCUCCUGCUGUCUUCUUUCCCACUGGCG